rnacentral:tRNA from 1 species
GGAGAUGUACUCAAGUGGUCGUAAGAGGUCGCACUCGAAAUGCGAUAGGUCCGUAAGGGCGCGUGGGUUCGACUCCCACCAUCUCCGCCA